UACGGAGGGGGCUAGCGUUGUUCGGAAUUACUGGGCGUAAAGCGCGCGUAGGCGGACCUGCAAGUCGGGGGUGAAAGCCCGAGGCUCAACCUCGGAACUGCCUUCGAUACUGCGGGUCUCGAGUCCGGGAGAGGUGAGUGGAAUUCCUAGUGUAGAGGUGAAAUUCGUAGAUAUUAGGAAGAACACCAGUGGCGAAGGCGGCAUCCUGGACCGGCAUUGACGCUGAGGCGCGAAAGCCAGG
rnacentral:rRNA from 1 species